rnacentral:rRNA from 1 species
GAUGAACGCUGGCGGCGUGCCUAAUACAUGCAAGUCGAGCGAACAGAUAAGGGGCUUGCUCCUUUGACGUUAGCGGCGGACGGGUGAGUAACACGUGGGUAACCUACCUAUAAGACUGGAAUAACUCCGGGAAACCGGGGCUAAUGCCGGAUAACAUUUAGAACCGCAUGGUUCUAAAGUGAAAGAUGGUUUUGCUAUCACUUAUAGAUGGACCCGCGCCGUAUUAGCUAGUUGGUAAGGUAACGGCUUACCAAGGCAACGAUACGUAGCCGACCUGAGAGGGUGAUCGGCCACACUGGAACUGAGACACGGUCCAGACUCCUACGGGAGGCAGCAGUGGGGAAUCUUCCGCAAUGGGCGAAAGCCUGACGGAGCAACGCCGCGUGAGUGAUGAAGGUCUUCGGAUCGUAAAACUCUGUUAUUAGGGAAGAACAGAUGUGUAAGUAACUGUGCACGUCUUGACGGUACCUAAUCAGAAAGCCACGGCUAACUACGUG